rnacentral:rRNA from 1 species
CAGUCGCCGCGGUAAUACGUAGGUCCCGAGCGUUGUCCGGAUUUAUUGGGCGUAAAGCGAGCGCAGGCGGUUUGAUAAGUCUGAAGUAAAAGGCUGUGGCUUAACCAUAGUAUGCUUUGGAAACUGUCAAACUUGAGUGCAGAAGGGGAGAGUGGAAUUCCAUGUGUAGCGGUGAAAUGCGUAGAUAUAUGGAGGAACACCGGUGGCGAAAGCGGCUCUCUGGUCUGUAACUGACGCUGAGGCUCGAAAGCGUGGGGAGCAAACAGGAUUAGAUACCCCUGUAGUCCCUGUCUCUUAUACA